rnacentral:lncRNA from 1 species
AGUGCCCAUGAUAGUGAAUCCAUUUUGGUUGUGUUGGAUUUGAGGUGGCAAAGAAAUAAGGAACUGGCAUGUGACUGCGGGAAAUUGGAGCUACAAGACAGGAGUUCAGGUGAAAAGAUAGGACUGGAGUUGGAUGCUGAAACUUGCAGUCACACAAGGAUUUGAACCUAGAGCUUUUCUAAAGCCUGUACUCUUUCCAGUACCCUGAGCCAGGGGAGCCAGCGGGCAGAAAUGACGUGUGAGGUACCCUCUCUCCCUUCACUUCCAUGUGAUCUGUUACUCAUUUUGUCAAGACAUCCUGGGUCCCAGAGACCACUCUUAUUCCCAGGUGUGUGACCUCCUCCUACAGAGUACAGUGGGAAAGACACCGUCUCCAGGUGCCAGGUGCUACACAAGAUACUGGCUAUAGCAGUGAACAGAACAGCCUGUCUCAUCCUCAUGGAGGUCACAGGACAAUGAGAAGAAAGACUUUUUUAUUUUUAUUUUUUUGAGACGGAGUUUUGCUCUUGUUGCUGAGGCUGGAGUGCAGUGGUGUGAUCUCGACUCACGCAACCUCCGCCUCCCAAGUUCAAGCAAUUAUCCUGCCUCAGGCCUCUUGAGUAGCUGGGAUUACAGGCACCUGCCACCACUCCUGGCUAAUUUUUUGUAUUUUUAGUAGAGACGGGGGUUUCAUCAUGUUGGCCAGGCUGGUCUCGAAUUCCUGACCUCAGGUGAUCCACUCACCUCAGCCUCCCAAAGUGCAGGGAUUACAGGCAUGAGCCAUCGAACCCGGCCCAAGAAGAAAGACAUUGAACAAGUAAUUACAGGGUAUUGGGUGUUAUGAAAGAAAAGCAUGGUACUGUAUAAUGAGGUCAUCUAAUUUAGUCUGGGGUGACAAGGAAUGCCUACUAAAGAAGGUAUCAUUUAAGACAUAACUGGGGAAUAGCAGUAGUGAAAAUAGAAGCUCCAGAAAGGCAGGGACCAUGGCUGACAUGUUUACCAUGCCAGUGUCUGGCAUGGAAGAGGCACCAAUUCCUUUGGUUGAAAGGAUGAAGUAAUCUAGCUGAAUAAAGGGUGUGUGGGUGCACGCAGGUGUGUUUGUAAUUAACCUUCCUUUAGCUCAGCUUAGGAAACAGCUUUUGUAAAACUGCGUAACUAGUAGUAGGUGAGAGAGGAAUACGAAUGAUAUACACACCAUUAAAGACAAUUUACUAACAGCACGA